UGGAGGAAGCCAUUGGGGACCUGCUUUGAAAGGCAGUAGCGUAGACAUCUCUGACAUUUCUCAUAUUCGAAAGCAGCCGUUGUAAAUCAAGACAGCGCCACCGCGUCGGCCGGCCCCUCCGCCACGGCGCGCCGUGCAAACUUCUCCAUCUGGAUGUAGUAGAACUCGCGGAAGUUACUGAACCACUUGAUGAGCUGGGAGCCGAUGCAGCGUGUGAACUGCGAGCAGCGGGUGGGUAAGUGAGAUGGUCAAACGCUUUUGCUGUGUCCUUCCGUGAAAUGAGAAGAGCAGCGCGGCGGCGUUCACUGUCACCUGCACAUCGUGGAAACACAUCUUCAGCACCGGCGAGCUGGGAUAGCGCGCAUAGAAGAACAUCAGCUUGGCUUUUUUCAGAUGCUGCGUGGUCAAACCCUCCUAAGUGGCCCACAGGUGAGCCAAAGGCCCUACCUAUGUGGUCAACAUGGAAGGAUACGUUGAGGCUGUAACGAUGAUUCUUGAGAAGGCCGCUUGACUCCAUCUUGACGCGCGGGAAGCAAACACUCGGCACCUCAGUCGAUCCGGACUCCGCCUCGGAUCGGACUUUGAGCGACUUUGGCGCUUCCUCUCGAGGUCCUCGUACCACCAGAGACAGCGCCUCGGUUUGAACGUCGAGCACCCGGCGCGGACCCCUCGAAGACCCGUCGGCCACCCGUAUCAGCGGCAUGCUUUUGAAAAGCGAGUCGACGCUGUGACUCACGGCUCUGGAGAGUUCGUACUUGAAAACGUCGGCCAUUGCUUUUUCCGGCUCGAGUGAAAAGUUGCCUGACUUUGUGCCACUUGUGGUUUCGCAAGAGUCGCCAUCCCUUAAGUUUGCAUGUGGAGAGCCGUUCCACGUCGGCCGCGGCUCUUCCGGAAGAGUUGUCAAGAGAGCCGGCUUCCGGCUUCCCUCCGCUCUCUGGACCGGGUCUUGUUUCAUCUCGCCAACAGGCGAACAGCUCAGGAUAUCUUCCACCCGGGCUCGCUUGGCCGGACGGCCGCUCCGUUUGGCGGCGGGAGAUGCGUAGCAGAGACGCGGCGUCCCGCUCGUCUCGUCGAAGGCGUCUUGAGAUUUUGCCCGAGUGGGACGGAGCUCAAAAGGAGCCAGUUGGUCCAGCCAAAAGAUGUCGUUGCUCCACAUGCUCACAUUCAUGCUGGAUUAGGAUCAAUCAAGCGCUGCUAAAUGCAAACAAAGCGCCAUCUAAGGAGACGUCUUGGGAGGAUGGCUGGCGGACUGGAGCUGUGACUCGACUCGCCGCACGCGAGGCCCUUUAAAAAUCAAGGGGCGCGGCCAAGCGACAGCGCCUGCAGUAUUCUGGCUCCAAGUGACUCCUUCGAGUGGCACCAGAGGAGCUCUCCAGAGCAACCUGCCGAGGAAGUGCAGCGGCGAGAACAUGGCGCCCAGCUGGUGGAAGUCGGCCAGUUUCAGCUGGUCGGUGAGCGUGGUGGCUGAGAUGCCCGCCAGCGGGCCCAGGCAGGGCAGGGAGCCCGCCGCCAGCGAAGGGUCCGGAAUCUGUCCCGGCAUCAUGUCCCGCCCGGCCGCCGCCGCCGCUGCUGUUGGGAGGAGAGCAAAAGGCUUACCAUUUCAACGCCGCGGCGGCCACUUGGUGCGAGUCGACCCUACACUUGCUUGAACUUGCCGCAUCCCCGGGGCGGUGGGGUGGCGAGCGCGUUGCCAGUUGUAUUCCCGAACGGCCCCCUCCUCGGCUUCCGUGCCCGGACAGGUUGGACGAGAGCUGAACAAAGCCCCUCUCAGAUGCGGCAAACAAAGAGCGCUAUUGUGCCGCGCUCUCAAACAGCUGACUGUGCUGCAGUCCGACGAGCUGACAGCCAACGAUGGAUGAAGUGGAAAUCCGAGGAGCACUCGGCCGCCUGUCCCGAAACCAUCGCACCUCCGUGGGACGGGACCUAAACCAAAGGUGUCAUUCCCCGAAAGGCGCCUGCCUCCUCACGUGAGCGUGCAGCUCAGUCAGUGUUAUUUGCUUCACGUCUGCUGGGUGAUGUCUUUUCUGCACAACCAUGCCACCUCUCUGGGAAAUACCCGUGGCUCGCGCCAGACAGCGUCCAGUCCAGUCCCGUCCCGUCCCGUCCUGACUCAUUCCUCCUCCUUGACCGCACUGCAGACACAAUAAGGCAAGCGGUCCCUAUUAAUUUGCUUCCUUCCUUCUUGUUGUUCUCCUUUCGGGAUCCUCGCAGACGCCCGUCCGGCCGUUGGCACUUUUUUGAAAAUCUUUCCAUAUUUCAUAAGAGCCGGGGCAGAACAGGAAGUUGGCGGCGAAGCGCUCUUGAUUUCAGCAACUGAGAUCUUUGCCAUUCUUGCAGUUGUGCUGAAGGAAACUCUACUUUUGAGUUUCAUUUGUAUUAUUCCCAUAGCUCAUUUAUGAUCAUUCCAUUGAACAUGUAAUAAAUGGUUAAGGAAGCACAAAAAAUCUUUUCAAUCUCUUAUCAAAUACCAAGUGGGACCGUUUUAAAAUAAACAGAAGAAUCGUCCCAUCGUCGGCUUGUUACUUGGACGGAUUGUCUCCAUCCUCUUGUUGCAUGUCUCACAUUUGCGCUCACUUUUUCCGCAUCACGUUAUCUCAUCAGCAGCGCGCUUGCGCUUACAGUCCCAGGGAAGUGCUACAUUUACGGGCAUUAAUCAAUGUCACGGGGCCGAGGCACCAUUUAUGGCGAGCGCGUGGUGACAUCAGCCCAUCAAUGGCCUUUGUCUUAUGUUAGCAUGAAGCUUGCAGACUGAUGACUUCCACUAAGCUGCUUUCAAAAUAUUAACCAUCCUACUGUGGGAGGAAAGUUGACUCACUCAAUUAAUCAAGUCCACAAGAACAGGGCAGUGUCGGUGAGUUGAGACUGUCUUCGGGGCCGCUCCGGGCGUCCUCCGCCAGGGCGUCCAAGUCGGCCAAGCUGAAGGAGAAGACGCCGGUGCGGUAGAUGCCGCCGCACGAGGGGCCGGAAGACGCGGCGAGCGGCGCGGCCAGACAUUCCAGGUCGUCGGCCACCGACUUGUACAAGGUUUCCCAGUCGGGCAGGCAGAGAGGCCCGCUCAGGUCCACGAUGUCGGGGACGAAGGCCUCCCCCUCCUCGGACGCCUCCAUCUCAAGACUGGGGACCAAGUCGUCCAGGUCGUCCUUCAGGUCCUCCAGGCUCUCGUCUUGGUCCUCCUCCAGGUUGGAGGACAGGAGGAGGUUGGAGUUGCCGAAGAUGGCGGCGGCCGGGAUGCAGCGGACUUGGGCCAGGCCGACGCUUUCGGCCGACAUCAUCGUGACUUCGUCCUCGUCAGCUUUCUCCUCCAGCUUACAGCAGGAGGACUCGUGCGAGGACAACACCUGCUCCAGGCGCUCCUUCUCCUUCAGGAGCUCGUCUAUCUCCGACUGAAGGAUGGACUUCUCCUCUUCCAGUUGGUCAGUUUCCUAGCGGGGAGGGGAAGUCAGGCAUCGCUCAUAUACGCUUUCGAGAUAAACAAUAGGAUUUUCUUGACACGUACAGCUUGCAGCGUGUCGAUCAGCUCCCUGCGCCUGUUCCGGCAUUUUGCCGCAGCAAUUUUGUUCCGCUCCCGACGAAUUCUCCGCCUCUCGUCCUCUUCUUUGGAAGGCUGCAGACGCAAUCGACAAAAACAGGCACAUGGAUGCAUUUCAAGAAAAAAAGUGCACACAUUAUGUGCUCGCCAAAAGUUUAGAUGAAAAACAUGUUUCAAAAGUCAAAACUUCUCAAGGAUGAUAUUCUUCCACUGUAAGGAAACCAGUGUGACUUGACGCUGACCUGAUGUUAGGAAGUCUGUUGUCGCCAUCUAGCGGUGGGACUGUGAAUUCCACUCAUUUUACUAUUAUCAUUAUUACUACAUUUAAAGGUGAUCACCUUUACUUCAAUUGACACCCCCCCCAUUACAAAUGUUAAAACAGGUUUUACAAUGGUAAAGGUGUGAAAUCCCGGACCAGAUGAGAUUAUUACCCUUUUCAUGAGCCCCAGUAGACGGGAAAAUAUUUAGGCGAUGAGAACAAGAACCGCUCCACAAAGUCCCUGCACUGAAUGCUGAUGCAGAGGCGCUGCAGACUCCGAAGAUGCGCGCAUGCACCACGUGCAUUAACAUGCACGCGCUGUCUUUUAAACACAUUGCAGCGUCGUCUUUCCCGUCCCGUACCUUGUCUUUGUGCCCUUUUCUGCAGGCGGAGGGCUUGGCCUUCUUCUUAAAAGGCGUCUGGCCCCUGCUGCCCUCUUUGGAAGGCGAGGCGCUCGGUUGAGACGUGCGCCACCGAUCCGGCGAGAUGGCAUCCGCGCUGGGGACCACGCAGUCCGACGCACCGCUUUCCACAUCCUGACAUCGCCCAAAAAAUGGUGCCGGUGACAGAGGCUGCAGGCUGCACCCAAGAGUGUCCCCGCCAGGCGAUGCUGUGCUGCAGCUGGACGACGACGAGUCCGAGGAAUAAUCCGGGUGCAUGAUUUAUUUCGAUUUUCUUUUUCUUAACUAUCAAAAGAAAUGAAAAGAACAAAUUUAGAUGCGUCUGAAAAAGGCAGAGGACAUCAAAUCAUGCAUAGGAAUGCUCACUUAUCUUCCAUUUGCCAGCCUUGGUGAAUGUUGCAAAGUGCAGCGAGUGGCAGGACGACCCGCCUUUUAUAGUGAGCUGGAUUUUAUGAAUGAAACGUACGAGAGCAAACCAUUCGGUGGGGUUAGGGGGAGAAGCAACGGUGCGUCCCCCGCCCCCCUCCAAUGUAGCACGUGAAAGUAACAAUCAUAAAUCCACAAUCAAUGAUAAUCCAAUGAAAAUAUGUUUUGAUGAAUGCAAAUGAUGGAAGUAGAACAGUCUUGUUCGAGGCGGCACCCCACGCAUCAGCACGUCAUGAAUGAACGACGUCAUUGAACGCAUGCAGCUACUGGAUCAUACCUGCAACGUGACCCGUGGCCCGUUUUUUUUUUUUAUAUUCGUUUUAUGAGAACGUGUCCUCAGAAAUAAGAUAGCAAUCCCUUCUUUUCAACAAGAACAUUAUUUUUGCUCAGUCAGCUUGUGCAACCGUCAUUUUGCACAGCUGGCUUAUGCAACGAGGCACAGCGCUCACGUGCUCAUUAUUAGCCGGGUUUUUUUUCAUUCAAUCUUUAUUUAUAUAAAAAGGUGCCUAAAUUAGA